UACGUAGGGUGCAAGCGUUGUCCGGAAUUAUUGGGCGUAAAGAGCUCGUAGGCGGUUUGUCGCGUCUGCUGUGAAAACUCGGGGCUUAACCCCGGGCCUGCAGUGGGUACGGGCAGACUAGAGUGCGGUAGGGGAGACUGGAAUUCCUGGUGUAGCGGUGAAAUGCGCAGAUAUCAGGAGGAACACCGAUGGCGAAGGCAGCACUCUGGGACGUGACUGACGCUGAGACGCGAAAGCGUGGGGAGCGAACAGG
rnacentral:rRNA from 1 species